rnacentral:rRNA from 1 species
GUCUAUGGCUAUGCCACCCUGAACACGCCCGAUCUUGGAAGCUAAGCAGGGUCAGACCUUGUUAGUACUUGGAUGGGAGACCACCUAGGAAGACCGGAUGCUGUAGGCA